AGUUUAGUCAAACGUGUAGAUGCGUGUACUGUUCACCAUAGUUCAAGUGCGGCAGAGUCUUCAAUUGUUCAGUUAUUGGCAAUCAUCUGUCAUUCUCUGGUGGCUAUUUCCACCUGCUAAGUACUUGAUAUCACCACUUAAACUGGUAGUCAUAAUUAGUCUGGACUCUAUAGCCUUUUUGCAAUGAAUAAAAGCUCAAGAUCAUCAGCAUCAGGUGGAGAAGUCACACCUUCUUGUAUUUUUAAACGGGAUCUUAAUGCGUUACAUAAAGAAGUGAUGCAUUGCUCAGUACAAGUUGAGCGACUGAAGCAGGAAUUUGCUGAAUUAAAAAAA